rnacentral:rRNA from 1 species
UACGUAGGGUGCAGGCGUUAAUCGGAAUUACUGGGCGUAAAGUGUGCGCAGGCGGCCAUGCAAGUCGAGUGUGAAAGCCCCGGGCUUAACUUGGGAAUUGCGCUCGAAACUACGUGGCUGGAGUGUGGCAGAGGAAGGUGGAAUUCCACGUGUAGCGGUGAAAUGCGUAGAGAUGUGGAGGAACACCGGUGGCGAAGGCGGCCAUCUGGCUCGGUACUGACGCUCAGGCGCGAAAGCGUGGGGAGCAAACAGG